GGAGGAUUAGCUCAGCUGGGAGAGCACCUGCCUUACAAGCAGGGGGUCGGCGGUUCGAUUCCGUCAUCCUCCACCA
rnacentral:tRNA from 3 species